UACAAAAGGAACACUUAUUCCUUGCUCCCUUGUUUAGCUGCUGAGCACUGAUGCAGGAGGCAGGCGCUGCCUGGGGCUGCACACACCUGACGGUGUGCUCCUGGUCAGCUCCGCCUGAGCCCGCAAGGACUCGUCCAGCUGCUGUCAGUGUCAGUGCCGGGGAUUAGCGUGCCCUCCUGGGGGAGUCCAGCUGACCACAGCGCUGGAAGAAUCGGAAUCUCCAGACUGUCCUUGUUAGUUUCUUCUAAUGGUUCAGCAGCAGUUUGAUAUGAAUCCAGCAGAGAACUUAUCUGAGCAAUCUUGGAGGAAGGUACUAGCAUUACUUGCACUCUUCAGAUGGGAACACUGAUACAGAGAGGUUCUAAGUCUUCAACAUGGUGGACAAAAUGAGCUUCCUCCUCUGCUCCUAGCCCUGUCGGUACUGCUGCCCGCCUGAGGCAAGUUCCUUCUCAUUUCUGGACCACACAGCUGCUUCCUUGGAUGGAAUCACAGACUUCUCCCUUCCCCAGGUCUACUGUACUUGAGGUCUCUCAGGUUGGGCAUGAGAACAGCUCCUUACUAUUCCUUUGCUGAGUGAGGUGAUGCAUGAACCAAGGCCCCCGAGAGACCCCACGCCAGGAUCUCCAGCAACAAACAAGCCACUUCCCCAGGAUGGGUGGUGAGUGCUUCUUAUCAACACGGCAAGCCUGGCUCCCGGAGGGCUGUUGAAUGAGGCAAGAGCCGAUCUCUCUCCACCUCCUUGCAAAGCUUUGCUCCUUGAUCUCCUCUACCUCCUGGUCCCAACCAGCCCUUAGGAAGUCACUGCUGGUCACAUCUCACAGAAUCACAGGCUCACAGAAGUACAGAACUCAACUGAAGAAGCAUUAGGUGUGUAUGAUACGCCAGGCCCUGUGGUAGGGCAGGGGAUACAGUGUAAACAAAAUAACAAAAAACCCACAUUCUCAUGGAAUUUACAUUCCUUUGGACAAAAUCACCAUAAAUCAGUACGAUCUAGUCUCCUCUGGUGGAAGAAAAAAGAAAAGGGAUUGAGGCCCAACUGUGGGUUUAAUGCUGUGCUAGGAGCUUUAUAUUUCUC